UUGGACAUUUUCGUAAAUAUUAGUUCUUGAGGGACUCGGUGGCAUUUUGUGUCAAUUAAUCCCUAAUUCCUAAUUAUCCCUAACAUCCGUUUAACCUAUCCGCAACCUCCUUUUUCUCCCUCAUUGCACCCGUACGGCUCCACUCUCCCGCACGUGUGCACGACGCCGUUGAUCACCACCGUCGUCGCCGUUAUCCGUGGCCGCCGCUGCCGCAACCCUUUUUGCUUGAUCUCUAUCAGCAUUUUUUUGGUUCGUCGCCGACGGUAUCUCGCCGUCGUUGUCUCCGUCUUUGAAGAGGUUCCGACGAUCGAUUUUCUACACAGUUUUGAUUGGGUAUUUUUCAUCUUUGAAGCUGCGUUAAGGUAUCGAGACCGAUUGCCGGGCGGGGCUGAGACCGAGUGAACGUUAGACGUAGCUAGUUUUGAUUUUUAGUCCUUUUAGUUUUAUGCCUAGCAUAUUUAGAUGUGAAUAUUUUUUUGGACUUCGUAAAUGAUCGUUUGUUA